UACGAAGGGGGCUAGCGUUGCUCGGAAUUACUGGGCGUAAAGCGUGCGCAGGCGGUUUUGUAAGGCUGGCGUGAAAUCCCCGGGCUCAACCUGGGAAUGGCGAUGGUGACUGCAAGGCUAGAGUUUGGCAGAGGGGGGUAGAAUUCCACGUGUAGCAGUGAAAUGCGUAGAUAUGUGGAGGAACACCGAUGGCGAAGGCAGCCCCCUGGGUCAAAACUGACGCUCAUGCACGAAAGCGUGGGGAGCAAACAGG
rnacentral:rRNA from 1 species